rnacentral:rRNA from 1 species
GUAUCCUGUCUGAAUAUGGGGGGACCAUCCUCCAAGGCUAAAUACUCCUGACUGACCGAUAGUGAACCAGUACCGUGAGGGAAAGGCGAAAAGAACCCCGGCGAGGGGAGGGAAAAAGAACCUGAAACCGUGUACGUACAAGCAGUGGGAGCACGCUUAGGCGUGUGACUGCGUACCUUUUGUAUAAUGGGUCAGCGACUUAUAUUCUGUAGCAAGGUUAA